AUACGUAGGUGGCGAGCGUUGUCCGGAAGUUACUGGGCGUAAAGGAUGCGUAGGUUGGAUAAUUAAGUGGGAUGUGAAAUCCCCGGGCUCAACCCGGGAACUGCAUACCAAACUGGUUAUCUAGAGUGCAGGAGAGGAAAGUAGAAUUCAUAGUGUAGCGGUGAAAUGCGUAGAUAUUAUGAGGAAUACCAGUGGCGAAGGCGACUUUCUGGACUGUAACUGACACUGAGGCAUGAAAGCGUGGGUAGC
rnacentral:rRNA from 1 species